rnacentral:rRNA from 1 species
GAUGAACGCUGGCGGCGUGCCUAAUACAUGCAAGUCGAGCGAACGGACGAGAAGCUUGCUUCUCUGAUGUUAGCGGCGGACGGGUGAGUAACACGUGGAUAACCUACCUAUAAGACUGGGAUAACUUCGGGAAACCGGAGCUAAUACCGGAUAAUAUUUUGAACCGCAUGGUUCAAAAGUGAAAGACGGUCUUGCUGUCACUUAUAGAUGGAUCCGCGCUGCAUUAGCUAGUUGGUAAGGUAACGGCUUACCAAGGCAACGAUGCAUAGCCGACCUGAGAGGGUGAUCGGCCACACUGGAACUGAGACACGGUCCAGACUCCUACGGGAGGCAGCAGUAGGGAAUCUUCCGCAAAGGGCGAAAGCCUGACGGAGCAACGCCGCGUGAGUGAUGAAGGUCUUCGGAUCGUAAAACUCUGUUACUAGGGAAGAACAUAUGUGUAAGUAACUGUGCACAUCUUGACGGUACCUAAUCAGAAAGCCACGGCUAACUACGUG